rnacentral:rRNA from 1 species
AUUGAACGCUGGCGGCAGGCCUAACACAUGCAAGUCGAGCGCGAAAGUUCUUCGGAAUGAGUAAAGCGGCGGACGGGUGAGUAAUACAUGGGAAUCUGCCUGGUAGUGGGGGACAACGUUUCGAAAGGAACGCUAAUACUGCAUACGCCCUACGGGGGAAAGGGGGGGAUCUUCGGACCUCUCGCUAUCAGAUGAGCCCA